CGAGCGUCAUUAUAACCACUCAAGCUCUCGCUUGGUAUUGGGGUGCGCGGUUCCGCGGCCUCUAAAGUCAGUGGCGGUGCCUGUCGGCUCUACGCGUAGUAAUACUCCUCGCGUCUGGGUCCGGUAGGUUGCUUGCACAACCCAAUCCCAUUUUUUUACAGGUUGACCUCGGAUCAGGUAGGGAUACCCGCUGAACUUAA
rnacentral:misc_RNA from 1 species